AGGACGUGCUAAUCUGCGAUAAGCGUCGGUAAGGUGAUAUGAACCGUUAUAACCGGCGAUUUCCGAAUGGGGAAACCCAGUGUGUUUCGACACACUAUCAUUAACUGAAUCCAUAGGUUAAUGAGGCGAACCGGGGGAACUGAAACAUCUAAGUACCCCGAGGAAAAGAAAUCAACCGAGAUUCCCCCAGUAGCGGCGAGCGAACGGGGAGCAGCCCAGAGCCUGAAUCAGUAUGUGUGUUAGUGGAAGCGUCUGGAAAGGCGCGCGAUACAGGGUGACAGCCCCGUACACAAAAAUGCACAUGCUGUGAGCUCGAUGAGUAGGGCGGGACACGUGGUAUCCUGUCUGAAUAUGGGGGGACCAUCCUCCAAGGCUAAAUACUCCUGACUGACCGAUAGUGAACCAGUACCGUGAGGGAAAGGCGAAAAGAACCCCGGCGAGGGGAGUGAAAAAGAACCU
rnacentral:rRNA from 1 species